CUCGUGUUCCGGCCAGACCCUAAAACACGUUAGACGAACACUGAGACCUGCCGCCGCCGCCGAAGCCACGCCGGCCGCCUCCAUGAAAGGCCGCAGCAGCCACCGCGGGACCGCUCCCACCUCCGCCGCGGCCUCGACUUCCAGCAAGCGCGACCCCGAAGACGAGCCCGUCUCAGACUCCGAGGAAUCGGUCGACGAGGAGGUAAAAGCCCAAGCCCUCGCGUUUUCCUUAACCGCCGCGCGGAUCCGCGGAACCCUCACCGGCGGUGCGUUUGAUCCGCAGCAGGAUGUCUCCUCGUCGUUGGGGUCGGAGUCGGAGUCGGAGAACGACCAGUUAGCGGAGCGGGAGCGGAAGCUGGAGCGCGUGCUCGCCGACGUGCCCUUCGGCGAGCUGCAGCGCGCGCGUGCUGACGGGUCGCUCGCGGCGCGGGGUGUUUCUGCUGCCGCCGCGGCCCAGAAGAAGGCUCGCAGGGAGAGCAGGAAGAGGCCCAUGGAGAUUAGCACGAAUGUGCGGCCGCCUAGACUCAGGGAGGUGAUUCAGGUUCCCAAGAAGGUUGUAAGGGAUCCAAGAUUUGAACCUGUAUAUGGAGCUGUUGAUAAAGAAGGGUUCAGGAAAAGAUACAAUUUCUUAUUCGAUCAUGAUCUGCCUGCAGAAAAAGAGAAACUCCAAAAGUCGAUUAAGAAAUUGAAGGAUCCUAAUGCCAUUGAAGAAGCAAAGAAUCAAAUCACCUGGAUUGAUAAGCAGUUGAGGUCUAAUCCUCAGAAGAACGUUGAAUCAGAAAUUCUGCGUGGACAUAUUAAGAAAGAGAGGGAAGCAGCAAAGGCCGGAAAACGACCAUAUUAUCUGAAGAAAUCUGAAAUUCGUGAAAGGAAGUUGAUGGACAAGUACAAUGAGCUCAAGGAGACGGGAAAGCUUGAUUCCUUUAUGGAGAAGCGACGCAAGAAGAAUGCAUCCAAAGAUCAUCGCUUCAUGCCAUACCGAAGGGAUGGGGGUGGUGCAUAACAAUGCCCCUACAGCCGCUUUUGGGGUGAUUCUGGCUAGCCUAUCCUCUGCUCACAGAGUUGUUGUAGCAGCGCUCUCUACUAUCCUGUUGUUGCCCUAGUGUCCCAGAUAUUUAUCAGCAACCGCGAGUUGAAGCUAACCCAUGGACCAUAUAUUUAUUGUUGAGCUCUGGUUGCUGGCAGCAACAAGCAAUUGUAAACCCAAACCAUGGAGAUAAUAUUUUGUUUCAUCUACUGCUUCAAUUGAUGCCAGUCUUUCUGUGUAAUCAAGGAGUAAAGUACACUUGCUUGUUGCAACUGAACAAUAUAUUCCUUUUGUUAGUUUCCUUGAUUG
rnacentral:rRNA from 1 species